AUGACGUCGCCGGUGACGACGCACGCCUCGCCCUUCCUGCUCGCCCUGCUCCUGCUCCUCUCCAUCCCGGUCGUCUUCCUCCUCGGGCCGCGCCUCCUCCCGCCCAAGACGCUCCCCGCCAUCCCGGACGCCGACGAGUCCGACGACCUCGCCCUCUUCCGCCGCGCCAUCCUCUCCUCUUCCUCCGCCAAGCCGGCCACCACCUCCUACUUCUUCCACCGCCGCCCUCGGCCCAAAGUCGCCUUCCUCUUCCUCACCAACUCCGACAUCGUCUUCUCGCCGCUCUGGGAGAAGUACUUCCGUGGCCACCGCAAGCUGUUCAACCUGUAUGUCCACGCCGACCCCUACUCCGUCCUAGAGCUGCCGCCCACGCCCACCUUCCGCGGCCGCUUCGUGCCAGCCAAGGCCACGCAGCGAGCCUCCCCCACGCUCAUCUCUGCCGCCCGCCGCCUCCUCGCCACCGCACUCCUGGACGACCCGUCCAACCAGUUCUUUGCGCUGCUGUCCCAGUCCUGCAUCCCGCUGCACCCGUUCCCCACCAUGUACAAGACACUCCUCUCCGACAAUGCUGGCCCUCACGGCCACCACCGCAGCUUCAUAGAGAUAACGGACAACACCUCCAUCCUUCAUGAUAGGUACUAUGCCCGCGGUGAUGCUGUGAUGUUGCCAGAGGUGCCGUAUGACCAGUUUCGUGCUGGAUCGCAGUUCUUUGUGCUCACUAGGAGGCAUGCCAUCAUGGUUGUGAGGGACAUGCGGCUCUGGAAGAAGUUUAAGCUGCCUUGUCUGGUCGAGCGCAAUUACUCGUGCUAUCCAGAGGAGCACUACUUCCCCACAUUGCUGGAUAUGCAGGACCCUGCUGGAUGCACCAAGUAUAGCCUCACGAGGGUGAACUGGACAGAUCAAGUCGAGGGCCACCCACACACGUAUCAUCCUGGGGAGGUGUCGGCCAACUUGAUCAGGGAGCUGAGGAAGUCAAAUGCGAAAUACUCAUACAUGUUUGCACGGAAAUUUGCCCCGGAGUGCCUCGAGCCGCUGAUGGAGAUUGCGGACUCAGUCAUCCUACGUGACUAG
rnacentral:rRNA from 1 species